rnacentral:rRNA from 1 species
GAUGAACGCUGGCGGCGUGCCUAAUACAUGCAAGUCGAGCGAACGGACGAGAAGCUUGCUUCUCUGAUGUUAGCGGCGGACGGGUGAGUAACACGUGGAUAACCUACCUAUAAGACUGGGAUAACUUCGGGAAACCGGAGCUAAUACCGGAUAAUAUUUUGAACCGCAUGGUUCAAAAGAGAAAGACGGUCUUGCUGUCACUUAUAGAUGGAUCCGCGCUGCAUUAGCUAGUUGGUAAGGUAACGGCUUACCAAGGCAACGAUGCAUAGCCGACCUGAGAGGGUGAUCGGCCACACUGGAACUGAGACACGGUCCAGACUCCUACGGGAGGCAGCAGUAGGGAAUCUUCCGCAAUGGGCGAAAGCCUGACGGAGCAACGCCGCGUGAGUGAUGAAGGUCUUCGGAUCGUAAAACUCUGUUAUUAGGGAAGAACAUAUGUGUAAGUAACUGUGCAUAUCUUGACGGUACCUAAUCAGAAAGCCACGGCUAACUACGUG